CAGGUAGUCGAGUCCUGGCACUAGAGGAAACUGGUGAUGAUCCUUCCUUUACACACCGCCCCUGCACCUGCUGAAACCCCAUCAUCUAAGGUGCACCCCUGGAUCCUGAGAAACCUCGGUUUCUUUCUCUGUAGAGAGAAAGAUGUGUUCUAACUGGAACAACCCUGGUUCCCUGGAGGACGAGCAGUGAAGCAACGGCACAUGCCCAGUGUCUGCCCAUAGCACGCGCCAGAUAAAGGACACGGAGGUGCUGAACACAGCUGUCCUCACCGGGAAGGCCGUGUCGGUUCCUGUCAAGGUCGUGGGCAUUCAGGAGGACGGCUCCGUGGUGGACGUGUCAGAGGCUGUGGAGUGCAGGUCUGCGGACGAAGAUGUUGUGAAGGCAUCCUGAAUUCAAAUGCCCCUGGUGCCAGGUGGGCAGCACAGGUGAUGCCAGGUGAUGCCAGAUCCAGACCUGUGGGAACUGGAGGACGUGGCCUCUUGACAUAGAGUUAGUGGCUGCUAUGUGACACGGACCGUGCACAACACGAAUAGGCCUGCAAUCUGAACGACACAAAGUCUCAUUCAGAGACAACCAUGCUAAGUAACACAGGGUGCUCGUGGAGAGAGAGAAAAAAAAAAAAAAAAACCUGCCUGUUUUCUUGGUUAUAAGAAAUUUAGCGAGUUUGGUCUGAUCAGAAGGUCUCAGGGUAAAGAAAAGAAAAUCAACUAAUAAUUUUUAAAAAGAAGAAAAUAUAUGUAGUGAUUACUGUCGAAUGACAUUUCCUCUUGGUCUGGCUGGGGUGCUGGCGAUGCUAGGUCUUGCUGACCUGCAGAUAAGCAUGUGAAGGUUGUGUGCCUCCCCUGGCAUCUCAGACUAAUUCCCAUCCUUGAAAGCCAGCUUCUGUGCCAACUCUCUGGGGAGCUCCUGGGGUCUUGGGUGUAAGCAAGUUCAUCUGGAGAGUCGGGGGCAGGGCUCUGGUCUUGCCCUGAGGGCUGCUCUCUCUGGGGGUCCCACCAGCAACCUCAAUCAUAGUUGGAAGGGUUUUCCCGAGACUCAGAUUACGUAGCAAUCGACUUCUAGUUCCAUUUUUUUCCUUCAUGCUGUUUAUUCCGCGUUUAGUUCUGAUCCAACUGGAAGUUUUUCCUGGGUAUGGUGUGAAGAAUGGAACUAAUUAUAUCUCUUUCUUCAAAGAACUAUUCACUUCCUACAACACCAUUUUUUUAUGAAGAGGUAUUUUUGCUGCAUGUUUUGAAAUACGUUAGCCGGGUACUAGGAAAUGAUCUGUGCUAGGGGUAUUCUGGACUUCUAGUCCAUCCGUUGAUCUGACUAUUCACGUGCCAGCCCUCAGGGCUCCUUUUAAAGCAAACAAACAAACAAACAAACAAACAAACAAACAAACAAAACCACCUGCUAGGUCUAAUCUCCUCUUCAGUCUUAAUUCUUCAGGAUUUCCCUGACUAUUCUGUGUGUUGAUUUUCUAUAUAAAAUCCAAUGUCAGUUUGUCACUGCAAGAAAAAUUCAUAAACAUUUUUUAUUGAGAUCACAUUAGAGAAGAAAAUUAAAACACUGAUGGUGUCCUGAUAUCAUACCCAGAACGAGAGAGAACACAUCUAUCUGUUCAAGCAGGCUUUGUCUUUAGGGGUGUUUUACAGUUUUUUGCGUAUUGGCUUUGAACAUUUCUGCUUAUGUUUAUCCUUAAAUAUGUAUCUACCUUGUUACUAUUAUGAAUGAGGUUUAUGGAUUCAUUUCUCUUCUACCUAGUUAUUACAUCUUUAUAUAACUGUUAUUGAUCUCUGUAUGUUAAUCUCUUGUUGCUAUGUUGCUGGAUCCUUCUAGAAUUUGAGUUGAUUUAUCAUUGGCUCACUAGGUAUAUGAUUAGGUCCUCGGCAAAUGGAGUUUUAUUUUUUCUUCCCUGUUUUUAUGCCUUUAAUUGUUUCCGUUACUCUAAUUGCCUUGACCAGUGUCUCAGGAACACUGUUAAAUACAAAGGAAAUGGUGGACAUUCUUGCCUUGUUCACGAUCUCAGUGGGCAUCUCUCUAGGAUUCUCUUAUUCUGCAAAUUAUUGGCUUUAAUAUGGAGAGCUGGAUCCACCUUUUUAACUUUCCCCACAUUUUAUAUUAAGAGUAUGUGUUAAGGGCAGCCCCGGUGGCUCAGCGGUUUAGUGCCGCCUUCAGCCCAGGGCGUGAUCCUGGAGACCCCGGAUC